rnacentral:rRNA from 1 species
UACGUAGGCAGCGAGCGUUGUUCGGAGUUACUGGGCGUAAAGCGUGCGUAGGCGGUUUUGUAAGUUUGGUGUUAAAUCUCACGGCUCAACUGGGAGGGUGCGCCGAAAACUGCAAGGCUGGAGUGUGGGAGAGGUAGGCGGAAUUCCUGGUGUAGCGGUGAAAUGCGUAGAUAUCAGGAGGAACACCUGUGGUGUAGACGGCUCGCUGGGAAUGAUCUGACACUGAGACGCGAAAGCCAGGGGAGCGAACGGG